GAGGAAGGACAGCUGUGAAAACAACAGCUGGAAAAUGAGUCGGAAGCACAGUAGCAUCUGGAUGCAUUUUAAUAAUGUAGACAAUGUUAGAGCACAGUGUAGAAUUUGCCAAAACAAAAUCUCAUAUAAAGCCGGUUCUACGCACAACCUACACCAGCAUAUGCGAACUGUGCACCCAACUGUGAAGCUAGCUGUAGCGGAGCUUCGAGAAACUUGCGGGCCUGCUAGUGAUAGUGGCGGAGUCAGCACCUUCACACGUGGAGUGGUAUCCACUCAGUCAAGUAAGCCUACUCCGUGACCCACAUUAACGCAGUCUUCUAUGGACAAGGUUAUGCCAAAGUCUAUAUCUGUCGCAAAACAAGGCCAAAUUGAUAUUGCAUUGGCUAAAAUGAUUGCCACUGAUUUCCAAACAUUUUCCAUCGUGGAGGACAGGUUUUUAGAAAUUAUAGCAAUAGUCACAAUCGAAUGUACACAAUUCCAAGCAGGAAAACCCUUUCAAAAUCACCUGAUUGUAAGAGAUGCUCUGAAGGUGAUGAAGUCCACUGUGGAAUACUUCAACCACAAGAGCACAGUAGGUGCUGAAAAACUAAAAGUCUAUACAAUGCCAGAUGGGGAUGCCUGUGCUGAGGCCUAAACAAGACUGCACUACAAGGUGGAAUUCAAUAUUUUAUAUGUUGAAGCGGCUUCUUGAGUCAAAGGAUCCAUCAUCUCUACCCUGGCCAUUGUCACAAGGCACCUGCUGAUGCUCUGACCCAAGAGGAAAGGGAGGUGGUGGAGGAGGUGUGCAGAGUCCUGGAACCCUUUGAGCAGGUCACUGUGGAGAGAGCUAUGUGACAGCCUCAAAAAUGAUACUCCUGUGUGAGGGUGUGCAGCGAAUCACAGCCAGCUGCCAGAGAGAAGCAAAUGUAACCACAGGACAUGUGACAGUGCAUCUUCAGCGUAAUUAAACCACCUCAACUGGAAUCCUACCUGUCUGUCAUCUGUGCCCUUACCAGCACACGGGAGCAAACACAUAUUAUGUAGAAAAUCGUUUUAUGUGAAACCACACCAAACAUUGUUUAAACAAUUAGUUUUAUUUAGAAAAGUAUAAGCUUAUGUCUUUAGCAUCGUCAAUAAUGCCAUAGAUUGACAGAAAAAUGAUGGCUAUUUGUUUGGAAUUGGGUUUUUUUGUCAAGAAAUUAGCUCCACCUAAUAAUGGCAGAGAUGAAAGGAGUUAAGAUAGAUUGUUCAAUCAUAGUUAUUCUCAAUAGUAAUUAGUGAGAAUAGGUGAGUAUAUCUGUAGAGAAAUACAGUGCAUUCAGAAAGUAUUCAGACCCCUUGAUAUUUUCCACAUUUUGUUACUACACAACCUUAUUCCAAAAUGGAUUAAAUAUGAUUUUUUACUCAUCAAUCUACACACGAUACCAUAAUGACAAAGUGAAAAGAUUGUAUUUUUUU
ensembl:lncRNA